rnacentral:rRNA from 1 species
AUUGAACGCUGGCGGCAUGCCUUACACAUGCAAGUCGAACGGUAACAGGUCUUCGGACGCUGACGAGUGGCGAACGGGUGAGUAAUACAUCGGAACGUGCCCAGUCGUGGGGGAUAACUACUCGAAAGAGUAGCUAAUACCGCAUACGAUCUGAGGAUGAAAGCGGGGGACCUUCGGGCCUCGCGCGAUUGGAGCGGCCGGUGGCAGGUUAGCUCGUUGGUGGGAUAAAAGCUUACCAAGCCGACGAUCUGUAGCUGGUCUGAGAGGACGACCAGACACACGGGGACUGAGACACGGCCCAGGCUCCAACGGGAGGCAGCAGUGGGGAAUUUUGGACAAGGGGCGAAAGCCUGAUCCAGCAAUGCCGCGUGCAGGAUGAAGGCCUUCGGGUUGUAAACUGCUUUUGUACGUAACGAAAAAGCUCCUUCUAAUACAGGGGGCCCAUGACGGUACCGUAAGAAUAAGCACCGGCUAACUACGUGCCAGCCGCCGCAGUAA